UAGGACGGAGAAAAUAUAAAGAUGAAUUCGAACUAGGUUUAACAAAACCGAACUGAUAACUGAGCACUUUAGCGGUAAUAUUCUGAAUUCGAAAAACCUUCACCAAAUUUUCGAUUGAGAACCAUCUGCCAUAAGAGCAGUGCUUCAAGAUACAAUAUGAGUCGUCAAUUGGAGUUGAAAUCUUCUGCUGCAAGCAGAAAACUUCAAAUAUGUGGUGAUAGGUGCAUUGU